UACGUAGGGGGCAAGCGUUGUCCGGAUUUAUUGGGCGUAAAGAGCGUGUAGGCGGCUAGAUAGGUCCGUUGUGAAAACUCGAGGCUCAACCUCGAGACGUCGAUGGAAACCAUCUGGCUAGAGUCCGGAAGAGGAGAGUGGAAUUCCUGGUGUAGCGGUGAAAUGCGCAGAUAUCAGGAGGAACACCGAUGGCGAAGGCAGGUCUCUGGGCAUUAACUGACGCUGAGGAGCGAAAGCGUGGGGAGCGAACAGG
rnacentral:rRNA from 1 species